GGGGUUAUGGGCCAAUCGCCUUGAGUUGAUCAUGGCUCAGGACGAACGCUGGCGGCGUGCCUAAUACAUGCAAGUCGAGCGGGAACCUCGGGAGGGGUAACCCUUCCGGGGGGAGAGCGGCGAACGGGUGAGUAACACGUGGGCAACCUGCCCCGGACACCGGGAUAACUCAGGGAAACCGGGGCUAAUACCGGAUACCUCGGCGUGAUCGCAUGGUCGUGCCGGGAAAGCUCCGACGGUCCGGGAUGGGCCCGCGGCCUAUCAGCUUGUUGGUGGGGUAACGGCCUACCAAGGCGGCGACGGGUAGCUGGUCUGAGAGGACGGCCAGCCACACUGGGACUGAGACACGGCCCAGACUCCUACGGGAGGCAGCAGUAGGGAAUCUUGCGCUAAUGCGCGAAAGCGUGACGCAGCGACGCCGCGUGCGGGAUGAAGGCCCUCGGGUCGUAAACCGCUUUCGGCAGGGGCGAAGCGAAAGUGACGGUACCUGCAGAAGAAGUCCCGGCUAACUACGUGCCAGCAGCCGCGGUAACACGUAGGGGACGAGCGUUGUCCGGAUUUAUUGGGCGUAAAGAGCGCGUAGGCGGCUCGGAAAGUCGGUCGUGAAAUCCUGGGGCUCAACCCCGGAACUGCGUCCGAUACUUCCGAGCUGGAGGCAGGUAGGGGAGAUCGGAAUUCCUGGUGUAGCGGUGAAAUGCGCAGAUAUCAGGAGGAACACCGGUGGCGAAGGCGGAUCUCUGGGCCUUGCCUGACGCU
rnacentral:rRNA from 1 species